rnacentral:rRNA from 1 species
UACGGAGGACGCAAGCGUUAUCCGGAUUUAUUGGGUUUAAAGGGUGCGCAGGUUGUUUGAUAAGUCAGUGGUGAAAGUCUGUCGCUUAACGGUAGGAUUGCCAUUGAUACUGUUGGACUUGAAUAUGGAUGAGGUAGGCGGAAUGUGUAGUGUAGCGGUGAAAUGCAUAGAUAUUACACAGAACACCGAUUGCGAAGGCAGCUUACUAAUCCAUCAUUGACGCUGAGGCACGAAAGCGUGGGGAUCAAACAGGA